rnacentral:lncRNA from 1 species
AGGGAAAGUUGAAUUCCUUAACUAAUGGAAUUCAAUUCCUUACUCAUUUGCAACCAAUCGCAGAAAUGGAUUGGAAUGGAAUUCCAAUUCCAGCCACAUCCCAAGGAAUCCAACAAACCUGUGGUGCACCCACCACUACAUUUCACGUACCAAAGAAAGAAACACAAAAAGAUUCUAAAAGGACAAGGGACCACUAUCACCCAGGAGGAUGUUGCUGACAUGGAGCAGGGGCAAAGUGGGAAUUUAGAGAAAUACUGACAUUCCGUUAUAAGGAUGGGUAGGGAGCCUGGUGAUGGCAUGGAAGAAUAUUAGAAGUUUCUACUUCUCUGGGAGUCCGUAGCAGCUCGAAUUGCUAUUUCUAUUUCAUUCUUUUUCUUAUCAAUUUCUUGUGUAAUCUCUGUUUUCGUUCAUUAAUCCCAGAAGAAGUGUGAAUCCAUCAGUUGUGGUUUUAAUUUAUCUUGAGUGAAUCUGAGUUCAUAACAAAACCAUACUCCUCAUAAUGUAGUUUUCAUAUCAGAGCAUUAUUUGUUCAUAAGUUACAAAAUAAAAUUCGAGGGCGCUGACCUAAAUGCACAGGGUUAGUUUUUAUUUUAUUUUUAAG